CUGACCUCAAAUCAGGUAGGACUACCCGCUGAACUUAAGCAUAUCAAUAAGCGGAGGAAAAGAAACUAACAAGGAUUCCCCUAGUAACUGCGAGUGAAGCGGGAAAAGCUCA
rnacentral:rRNA from 1 species